rnacentral:piRNA from 1 species
UGGGAAGAUUUGAGGAACAGUGUGGAAAGU